rnacentral:rRNA from 1 species
CCAGCAGCUGCGGUAAUUCCAGCUCUUCUAGUGUACAUCGAAGUUGAUGCAGUUAAAAAGCUCGUAGUCGGAGAUGUUGGAGUCGGGGAAAAACUGCUUGGCGUCCGAAAGGAUGUCCAGGCGACCCGCUCCAUUUAUUUUUGAAUGGAUGUUCAUUUGUAGCAAUACAGGUGGACCUCUCCUUCAAAUCGUUUACUUUGAGGAAAUUAGAGUGUUCAUAACAGUCGUUUGACUGAAUAUUUUAGCAUGGGAUAAUGAAAUAUGACAUACAGCUUGUAUUUUAUGGUUUUUUGAAGCAGUAGUAAUGAUUAAUGGGAGUAGAUGGGGCUGCCUGUAUUGAGAAGCUAGAG